rnacentral:rRNA from 1 species
GAUGAACGCUGGCGGCGUGCCUAAUACAUGCAAGUCGAGCGAACGGACGAGAAGCUUGCUUCUCUGAUGUUAGCGGCGGACGGGUGAGUAACACGUGAAUAACCUACCUAUAAGACUGGGAUAACUUCGGGAAACCGGAGCUAAUACCGGAUAAUAUUUUGAACCGCAUGGUUCAAAAGUGAAAGACGGUCUUGCUGUCACUUAUAGAUGGAUCCGCGCUGCAUUAGCUAGUUGGUAAGGUAACGGCUUACCAAGGCAACGAUGCAUAGCCGACCUGAGAGGGUGUUCGGCCACACUGGAACUGAGCCACGGUCCAGACUCCUACGGGAGGCAGCAGUAGGGAAUCUUCCGCAAUGGGCGAAAGCCUGACGGAGCAACGCCGCGUGAGUGAUGAAGGUCUUCGGAUCGUAAAACUCUGUUAUUAGGGAAGAACAUAUGUGUAAGUAGCUGUGCACAUCUUGACGGUACCUAAUCAGAAAGCCACGGCUAACUACGUG